ACUCCUACGGGAGGCAGCAGUGGGGAAUAUUGGGCAAUGGGCGCAAGCCUGACCCAGCGACGCCGCGUGAGGGAUGAAGGCCUUCGGGUUGUAAACCGCUUUCAGUAGGGAAGAAGCGAAAGUGACGGUACCUACAAAAGAAGCACCGGCUAACUAUGUGCCAGCAGCCGCGGUAAUAC
rnacentral:rRNA from 1 species